AGACAGUGCGAGGCUGCGCAUGCGCUUGCUGGGGGCGAUGCGCAGUGUCGUGGGCUGCGAGAUGGCCUUCGUGUUGCGCAUGCGCAGGGCGGGGCCUCGCGGAGCGCGGGAAACAAGCAGAGCGCGCGCAGAUUUUUCAAGGGGAAGAUAAAAUGACUAAGAGGAAGAAGCUGGGGACCUCAGGAGAAGGAAUCUGUCCUUCAAAACCCCUAAAGAAUCCAAGGCUAGAAGACUCUGAUGGGGACCUCCAGAGUUCCACAUUGGGCUGUUUGCAUCACCCUGAGGUGCUGGAGGGCAAGCUGGGACCUGUUCCUUCUACACAGCAGCACGGGGAGGAACCAGGAAAGGUGGUCUCCAGCUCUCCUAACGAGGAAACAGGAGCUCCCUGCAGGCUCCUCCAUCAACCAGAAAAGAAGCCAGCUCCCCUUCCUCCUUCUCAGAACUCAGUUGGCAGGUUUGUUCCCCAGUUUGCAAAAUCCAGGAAGACAGUGCCAAGAACAGGAGGAAUGAAGGAUGAGGACCUCGGGAGUGGGCCCUUUAGUGCGGAAACACUCCCAGAGUCCAGCGCCCAGGAGUCAGGAUACCAGCUCCUAGCCGAGACUCUGGGGCUCCCCUUCCAGGAGGCCACAGAGCCAGGGGACCCAAUGCAGGCAGACGGUGCCCAUCCUAAGCAGAGCAGCCAGAGCCCUGUGAAAGCUGUGUCCAGCAGUGGGGAUUCUCAGCCUGAGGACCCUCCAGGCAGGGGGACGGGGUGGUCUGCCUCACAGAGGGCCAGCCAGGACCACCUGUCAGAACAAGGGACCGACAAUAGCAGGCCUGAGACAGAGAGGGCUCCAGGUGAUCCUGGCCAAAUGGAACACCUGCCAAGCAGUGAUUCUGAAGGGAAGGAGCCAGACAGAGGAGCCCCCCAGGAGGGAGGAGCCCAAAGGACAGCAGGGGCUGGCCUUCCUGGAGGGCCCCAGGAGGAGGGAGGCGAUAUCCCCUGUGCCCCACCAUCAAUUCCUACCUCGGGCCCUGCUUUGGGACUGGGCCCUGCCUCUUGGUGUCUGGAACCCGGGUCUGUGGCCCAGGGCUCCCCCGACUCCCAGCAGACCCCCAGCAGGGUGGGCAGGGAAAGGGAAGGGACUCAUAGCAGCCUGGAAUGUUCCUCCCUCAGUAUGGGUGUCAUCACAGACCUGAGCACAGACCCCACUGAGCUGGAAGAGAAGGCUCUGGAGGUGGCUGGGCCUGACAGGCAGGUUAGCGCCAUGUCACCUGCCUCUCCCGAGAGGAAGGCUGAUGAUGGAGGCCACGGGAGAGUCCUGCCAGGCUGCACCCCACUCACUGGGGAAACCACAGGAGGGAGAGGGGAGGCAGGGCAGGACGACAACCCCCCCGAUGACAUCCCAGUGGGCCCUGCAGCCUCCCUGGCUCUGGCACCUGGGAGCGGACAGCCCAUGAUGGGGGCUGGAGAUUCCAGCCAUCCAGCCCUGGACACAGGUCCAUGUGUCAGUCAGAAGCAGGAGCCAGGCCCUGCCCAAGAGGCAGCCGAGACAGGCAGCCAGAACCUUGAACAAGACCUCGAGGGGCUCGGUCUGUCCCCAGAAGCCUCUGUUCUGCUGGAACACAAAGAAGCAACGGACGGCCCUCUUCAGGAGCCUGGGACCCAGCCGGGUGAUCCAGACACCACCUUGGACCCAGCAGGGCAGCGAGACCACCUGCCUCAUUCUGCAGACCAGGCCACCUGGGCAGACUCUUCAGCCCUGGAACUUGACUUCCUGCCAGACAGCCAGUUACAGGAUGCCCUGGAUGCCUCUGACUUCGAAGCCCCACCUGAGCAGCUCUUUCCUUCGGGGAGCAAGCCAGGCCCUUGCUGGCCUGGCCCCAGCCCACAUGCCAGUGAAGACCCUGUUGCAGUGGCCAGGGCCCAGCCGAGGACCUUUGUGGGGAUCCAGGCCUGUGAGGCCCCCAGGAUGGAGGAUGCCACCAACAUCGUGCGUGGCCUCAUCGUUGAGCUCUCCAACCUGAACCGGCUGAUCAUGGGCACCCACCGGGACCUGGAAGCCUUCAAGCGCCUCAACUACUGGAAGACAAAGCCAGGAGGCAAAGCCCCCUGCCUUACCCUUCAAAGGGGCCAGGGGAUGUCCCUCGAGGGGACCAACCCUGGAGGGAGUUGUCGGCGGCUUUGAGGUCUGUUUCCUCUGCCACCGGCCCCCAUGCCUGUGGGCCCCCAUGGGCAACCUGGUACUUUUGAUCUCCUCCAAGAUGCUCCCGGGGGUCCUAAUGGACCCCACAAACCCCCUUCAGUUGCCCGGAAGUUGGUCUCUAAUGGACAACACAAAAGAGACCCCGAGGACUGGCCAGGGUCAAGGUCAGCAGCCCCCUUGGCUUCAGGCGGGACUGAACUCUAGGAAGCCCGCCCCGGCCGCCUCCAAGCAGGGCCCAUCCUGUUUGGAUUUGCAAAUGUUAGGCUCCCGAGUCAAGGUUAUGGAAGGUUCAGAAUUUGUUUCUUUCCUGGAGAAAAGAGCUCCCUUUGUUUUCCUUCUCACGAUUUCCAUUUUAUUUCUUCUGGGAAGACCCAUAAUAAAUGGUUCCGUAAUGAGGC